AAUAUUGCGCAAUGGGCGGAAGCCUGACGCAGCGACGCCGCGUGAGCGAAGAAGGCCUUCGGGUCGUAAAGCUCUGUCCUUGGGGAAGAAGGCGAAGGCUUGACGGUACCCAAGAAGAAAGCCCCGGCUAACUACGUGCCAGCAGCCGCGGUAAUACGUAGGGGGCGAGCGUUGUCCGGAAUUACUGGGCGUAAAGGGUGCGUAGGCGGCCUUUUAAGUCAGAUGUGAAAGGCUGCGGCUUAACCGCAGGACUGCAUUUGAAACUGGAAGGCUUGAGUGUCGGAGAGGGUAGUGGAAUUCCCAGUGUAGCGGUGAAAUGCGUAGAUAUUAGGAGGAACACCAGUGGCGAAGGCGGCUUUCUGGACUGUAACUGACACUGAGGCAUGAAAGCGUGGGUAGCAAACAGG
rnacentral:rRNA from 1 species